GGAGCAGUGUUGUUUCUUUGCGUGAUGCCUGCAACGCGGCCUGUGGCUCUGCCGCCAUUCUGACCGAGACCCAGAACCAGAGCUCGUUUUCGUUCUCGUUUCAUCCUCUUCGAGCUCAUCCCAGCUGCUGGAAUACUAGAAUAGCGCCGCCUCAAGAUCUUCUACCUGCUGCCGUUUCGUGCGCGACUUUGGUUUAGACAGUUGUUCGUCGCACCGCGCUGGAUCACUGCUCGAUGUUAAUUCACCAGUGAUUCGUCAGGAGUACUACACCUUUCUUUGUUCGGCACGGGAGGGAGGAAGAAAACCGACUGAACCUUUCCUAUCUCUCAGCACCCUCUCAAAGAGCCCAACCGACCCCGUCCCAAUCUCCUGGCGGCGGCGCAGCGGCUGCGGCAACCGGGCGAGGAGAAUAGCGGCGGCGAGCGGCCGGUAGCGCCACGACGACGAGGUCAACACCCCGGGAGACCGCCUCCGCACCACCGGGAGAAGGAGAUGAAGGGGAAAGAGAUCCCCUUUUCCUCGCCCCUCGCCGGUGCUGGCCACUAUCACGCAUCCCGCCUUCGCGUCGUCACCCACCCUUUCAACAUCGUGUCAUCGAGCUGGGAACUCGUCGGCUGGGUCCGGCGUAACCGGUCUACGGUGGUCUUCUGGGAGAAGGACGACAUGCGCCCCUAGAUGUGCCUCCGCCGCAACAUGGAGGCUGACCUGCUGAUGCUUCUCUCCUCCAGUGCAGGGGACGACGGGCUGCCGCUGCACACCAGUGAGUAGGGAGCCAAUGCGGCGGUGACGGCGAGGAUGGGUGGCUCCGGGUUCACGAGAGCGCCCGACAGGGCUGAUGCAGCGGCGUCUUUCUGGUAUAAAAGAAGGAGAAGGAGGGGGCGAUCUCUCGACUAGCAUCUUUGACGGGGGAUGAUAGACCAGAUCAAACAAGCAUUAGGUUCCGUAUAAGCUAUGAAUGUAUAAAAAUUCAGAAUCUAUACGAAGAUCGAUACAAAAAUAUUCAGGUGAUAUCAUUCUAUACAUAUGUGCAUCUAUGGUGAUCAUUUGUUCUUCCGUUGUGUUCUUCUCAUUCAGAACUCUUAACUUUAAUUUUUUGGUUGGUUCUCCAGACAUGAUUGCAAAUCUGCGGAGGUUUAGAAGAGGAAGAAGCUAUGGUAGAAAAUUUAUUAAGAAGCUGCCAAAGGUUUCAUACCAGCCUCUUGCUUUUCAUAAUAAACCAGAGUAAAUAUCUUUCUUGAAUCAUGUUGUGGUGUAUCCACUCCCAUCAGUUUGUCUAAAUGUACCCAUAGUAUUUUGUAGUUCACAUGUCCAGUUUUCAUUCUAUACUGCAGUUGAAAAAACCCAUCUGAUCGUGUGAUCAUUUGCUAUAUCAGCAAUCUAGAUGAGCCCAAAAUCAACCCUAUGCAGAGGCACAUGAUAUAUUUACUUAAUCUGCCUGUUUAUUCACUAAGAGUUGUUUGAACAUUGUGUGACUAGAUUUGUUCACUGCACAUUCUUUAUUUGGAAACUCUGCAUUUCGUAACCUACCCUUACAACCUGAGCUGUACGAACCUCCACAGUGGGUAUUACUAGAAUUGGCCAUGAGGCAUUCUCUUGACAAGGAUAAGACACUUAAUUUCUUUUGACUGCAGUUUUGAAUUGUGUGCAUGUCAAUCAGGUGAUAUAAUCAUGCCUUUUAUUUGUUUGUAGCGAGAAUUUUUCACCAGUUUGAUUGUUUUUUGCAUCCACUCGGUUAAGAUCUCGUUUAAUUUUUUUUCCAGAGUUCUUGAGGGACACACAGCUGGCCUAGAAGAUGGACCUUCAUGUAUGCCCCAUCUAAACCGCAUCUCUAAUUUAUAGUACCACACAACAGCUUUAAGCAAACAAAACUCAUGAGCUAGCCAAUCUUCAGAUCUAUUACCUAUCUAAUGCUUUGUAUAAAAUCUUGAGAUAUUAAAGUGAGUUAACUACUACUUCCUUAAUAACAAAUACAGUUGACUGUUCUCCAACUUAAGUUGGAAGGCACACAAAUAUUAGGAGCCAAAAUGGAGCAAUUAUCUUGGACAUACUAGAAAUUCUUGGAGUCCAGCUGUUAUAUUGAAAGGUUGAUAUCCCAUCAAGAUCUUCUUUCUGCUUCUGCCCCUGAUGUUUCUCGGGGUGCUGUUGUUGCACUACUUAAUUUUUCCAUGGAAUCUUACUAUGCAUUGGGUGUUAAAUUGAGAUUUCCUCUUCGUGGGUUAAUAUCUUUUUCCUGAAGUUCAGUUAUGUACUUGGGCAGAUCUGCCACAUAAUACCUACUCUACAGUAGCAUAAAAGUGUUGGAGAGUUGGUUCCUGCUAUUCAGUACCAUGUUUUAACACACCACUUUUUCCAUGGGCGCUACUAUGCAUUGGGUGUUGAAUUCCAUGCAGCCAAAGGUCAGUGUUUAAUAUCUUUUCUCUUUGUGUCUUUCAGUCUACAAGUUCUUUAUCUUACUGUGGAUGAAAGGUAGGUUUGCAAAGUCAAAUUAAACAUAGUCGUGGUCAUGCUGCUAGAUUGUAGAAUUUUAUUUGAGACUUUUGUGUUUUGUGUUUGGUCCUGUAGUGUUAGAUGUUCAUGAUAUAUACGUAAGAUGGGCCAAAUUAUGUUAAAAUUUUACGAUUACUAGGACUGUCAUUUCUCUCUGUAUUUUUCGACAUGCAUGCGAUGCAUUUCUUGAAGCAUUAUUCGUGUGAUAUUGUGGGUUUGCUCAGCUAUCUUCUCUUCUUCACAUAUUCUGGGGUAAUCCUAUGGUACAAUAGCAUGGAAGUGUUGCAGUACUGUAAAUAUGUUCAUUUGUUUGUGUUGUGUUUGAAGACGUGAAGCCUUACCUGUAUGGAGCGUUUUUCACAUCUCGGUGCGAAUUUCUUAUAGGCUCCGUGGGCAAUAUUUGAAAGAACCCAUAAAUAUUUGGAAUGCAUAUUAGAACUUGAUGAGCUCAAGCUACCUACAUUGUACUGCAAUAUUGCUGAUAGCCUCUCACUUUCGUUUAGUUACUGAAGUACUGAGGUUGUACCUAAAGCUGGUCUAUAAUCUGGUUUGCGCCACCUUGUUCUAUUAUAUUGCAAUAAAUGUUUGUUGCCCUUUUUCUGUCUAUGAUAUGAUUUUGUAUCUACACCUUUUAUAUCGUAAAGGUUAAAUUGUUUCUGCCUGCUAAAAAAAACAUUUACACUGUUUUCUCCAGGUCUGUUCAUCAAUCUCAUGGCAUGAGCUCUUUAAUUGCUUCUUCGUAUCUGCCAUUGGAGUAACAUAGGUCAACAUACAUACAUAGCAUGUUCCGUACAGUUUUAUGUGGAGCCUUUCUCAUGUUCUCUAUCUUGUUGUAUAUAUAAUACAUUCUCUGUGUUUUACUGCAUGAGGAUCUCUUCAUGUUGUUCCUUUUGGUUGCUCUACACAAUUAUAUGUUAUUGAACACAACAGUUCUAGCAUCUACGUUGGAUUUAUGUGAACUAUGUGUAGUCUAACUCACUUCAGCUAUAUAAUAGCUUUGUUUGUAUCUUC